CUGAGGCAGUUUAGUUACACUCUACAUUUCUUCAUCGUUGACCUCAUUGCAAUUUGCAAAAGACAACCAUUAUUGUGCCACUGAACAUGGGCAGAUAUUUUAAGAGCACAAGUGAAACCAGAAGUGAUCCGAUUCAAAUUAGAGGUAUUGAUAAUGUUAAAGGGCAAUACUAAGAUCAUCCAAUUAGCAAUUAGUUUCUUGCAUGACCUAUUCCAAGGAAAUGUUGUUUGUCUACUCACCAAUUCCUAGCCCACGAUAUGGUGCUAAAACACCCAAUGUCAUGAUGCACACACGGAUGGCCACACCUUCCUUCUUUUGCAGCCGGCAAGCAAUUGAUCCGACACAGAUGUCACUGUAAUAUGCUGAGUUAGAAUGCAAAAGAGUGAUUGUUAGAACAAAAUACUAAUUUUUGGAUAACACAGGCUAUUCUCCAACUUACUCUCAUCAGGUCUCAACUCAUGUAAUAGCUAUGUAUAACAAUCACAUCAUCUGUUACGUGAAUAUGCAUGCAUCACCACAAACAAUUUAUUCCGAGCCAACAAAUUGAAUAAAAAAUAAUUAAUUAUAGCUUUCUAAUCAUCAAUGUGUAACAUAGUAAUUGAUAUCAUAUGAUGAAGCCACUAUGACAGGGACAUUACAAACAUGCUCUGCACAUUCAUAAGAUCAUAGAGUUAAAAGAGGAUAGAGUUGCUCCAAACUUCAAUUGAGUGUAUUUCUUAGAGCAUGACUUGAGGAUUAAGGAGAAAAUAAAACAAAUAUGCAGUUACCAAGACAGAAGGAAACGAUAAGAUAACUUCUCUCCAAGAAGUAACAGGUUUUGAAAUUUCUACAGUUUCUGUGAAAAGAUGUAGACCAUCAAGCUCAAUAGGUGCCCUUCAAUGCAAGGCAGCAAAUUUCAGAAUCAGGAAGUCUUUAGCCAGGGUUUUUAUGACUCUAAAGUUCGCCAGAAAACUUCAGGGAUAGCUACUACUACCCGCUAUUUAACAGUGUAAAAGCAAUGCAGGAUAAGGAAGGAUGUAUUAACGUUACACAAUAUGCAGAAGAUCAUGGAAGAAAAGGUGACUGGACCAACUAAGAUUGGUAACAUAAAUAUUCGAGUGUAAGGCAGCACAAGCACAACAGCAGAAGCAAAGAGUGUUUUUGAGGCAUGUUUUCAUGAGGAUGACUGGUGACACGCAUUUUUAGAAUUUAAUAAGCCCAGAAUAUUGACCAUUGAGACCAAAACACAAUAAAUAGAGCAAGCAAUUCAAUAUAGGUCGGGUUAUCUAACCUAAACUAUCUAAUCCAACAAGGAAUUGCUUCUACCAAUGAUCACAUGAGAAGACACUAAACUGAUAACCGAAAACAUGUUAACGGUAUCGAAGGUCACUCAUGUGUAGGUUGUAGUUUCAAGACAGCCAAGUUCAUCAUUCAGUAACUUGAAACAUCAAGGAUACAGUUUCUAGUCUUGGAGAAUCUAUACAUAUUAAACCAUUUUCCAAUCAUGUAUAAUCAAAUGCCAAUAUAAAUCAAACUAGCCCAUAAAAGGCCAUCAAUCUUCCGACUCAAAGAACCAAAAAGCCAAAAUCAAGCGCAGAAAUCAAAACCAACAAAAUAAAUUCCCAUAAUAGGAUACUAACUACAUACCCAGAGGGAAAGAGAACAACAAUAAAAUUCCCAAUAGAUGGCAUAUACUAAAGAACACAAAAGAAAAAAAAAACAGUGCAAAGAAAAUGCCAAACAACAUUGGACCAACCAAAAAGAGUUCAACAACUUUAAAAAGAAAAAAAAAAUGAAAACCCAGAAAAAGAUUAGAAAAAACGGAGCAAACCAAGCUUGGUGAAUUCGCCAGAAGCGAGAGCAUCGGCGUAGUACUUAUCGUUGUAACGAACAGGGAAGAGAGCUGUGUUGAGCUUCUUCAGCUGCAUCACGUUCUUGUCCCUCACUCCAUCAAGUGAUAUUGCUACUUCUCGCCCAGCCCCCAUUUCUUAACUCCUUUGCGAUCUAUUGGUCCAAUAAAACAAAAGAUUUGCAGAGGGGAUAUAAUAAUGGUGUGGUGAGGGAUUGUACAGACAGACUUAGAUUUCUUGUAUGUGACAAAAGAGGAAGGGUAGGUUGGCUUUUCAAUUUACAGCGACGGUGGAGGGAUUCGCUACUCAUGGAACUUGGGGUUUCUCGUUUCCCUGAGAAAGACCCAGCGAAGUGGAACCUCGAUUUUCCUGAGAAAGAAGAGAGCAAACGAAACAGCAGCCUGAGAAGAGAAGAUAUGCGAGGGUAAGAAGAUGAAGAACAAAAGAAGAAGGAAUGAAGAAGAAUGAGAUGGACUGAUGAAGAAGGAGACGGAAAAUGAUUUCAGGACCAAGAAAAUAAAAACACAGUGCAAAAGCGUGGACGGCAGGAUUCGAACCUGCGCGGGCAGAGCCCACAUGAUUUCUAGUCAUGCCCGAUAACCACUCCGGCACGUCCACUGAUUUUGUUGGUUUUUGUCAUUGUUUACUUAAUAUUGUAUUCUUUUGCAUACCACCACAACGUACAUUCAUUCUCUUUUUGAAUUUAAAAACAACCAUCUCAUUUAUCAUAAAUAUUUAAAAAUUCAUUUUUAAGAUUAUCUAAAAAUAAAAAUAUUACCAUCUCUUAAUUUUUUUAUAAAUUGGAAAUAAAAAAUCUUUUUUUUUGGUUUUAACUCUCAAUAUUUUGCUCUUCCUUUUAUAACUUUAGUUAUUUCAGUGUCAUGGUUGAACUGAUGAAGGCAGUCCAAAACAACAAAGGUUUACAAUUUGUUGGCUACUGUAUACAUUUGGUUUCCAUAAAUCUUGAGUCGAGUCGAGUUGAGUAGAAUUUUAAAAUUUUCGAAUAUUUUUUGGGGUCAUUUGUAUUUUAGGUUUACGUUUUCAAGUUAGGUCACUAUAAGUUUUAGUUAUUAUGUGUUUGAAGUGUUCCAAUUUUUGGUCUGUUAAAAUACGUCCGUCUCUGUACUCAGAAAAAAUUUGAAAUUUAAUCUUUGUACUUAAAAAUAUCAAAAUUAGAUUUUCUUAAUUUUUUUAUUUAAAAAUUUCAGUUUAGUCAUUAAUGUUAUUAGUAUUUUCCAUCAAAAUUUGCUAACUUGGUAUGUUAAUUAAACUAUCCUCAUAUGACACUGCAUAUGAUUGACAAAAAAUAAACAUAUUAAGUUGAAAAAUUUUGACAGAAAUUACAAACUACGAUAAUAAUUAUGAUUAGAAUUUUUAAAUUGAAAAAAAGGUAGGAUUAAAAUUUUAAAUUUUAUAGUGCAUGUGAAUAAAUCUCAAAUUUUAGAUAAGUAAAGGGAUGACCAACAUGACAGUUCUAAGAGAUUCCUCAUAUUUCUUCAACUUAUCAUCAUCUCCAAGUUUGUUAAAGAAAUCAGAAGAUGGAGCACAAAUUUUAUUAGCUUGAGAAGUGGAAGAUAAAGAUAUGAUAUUGCUCUUAGCAUGCUGUUGAAUUUGACCUUUGAGCAUAAAUCCAUGUACAAAUUCCUUGAUCUUUCAAUGCCUCAAUAGCUCCAAUGCAACUCAUGGUUUUAAUCGUUUUUGCUAUACUUUUUAGAUCAAAUGGCUAUUUUUUCUUAAGUAAAUGGUAAUGGUGGAUAUGAGGUUCUUAUAUAGUGACUUUAUGGGGAGGGGGGAAACUAGAGAUGGUAUUCAAAUAAAAAAAAUGGUUUUAAUUGUAUACUACAAUAGAGACAAUGAUAGUAAAGAAAUGAACAAAAUCACCAAAGAUAAGAUUUUGGGAUGGUUUGUUUUUGGUUUCUUUGGAUUUAGGGGAUGAACCCUUCACUAUGUACAUCCAAUUUAUUGGUUUCUAUUACAUAUUUCCAUGAAAAAUUGAAAUCCUAAUGUGACUUGAGAAGUGGAUUGGCUUGUUCUCCAUUUAUGUUCAAAUUCUUCCCAUGUUUUUUUGUUUUUGGGAUUUGAAGUUUUAGGUUCCAUUUGUUUGCCAGUAAAAUAUUUGUUUUUAGGCUCCAGAAAAUGAUUUCUGAAAAAUGAUUUACUUUUUUAGUGUUUGGAUGAAUCUGUGUAAAAUAUUUUUUAUUUUUUGGCAGAUUUCCUGAAAAUAUUUUCCGAAAAAGCUGUUUUUACAUGUAUUAAUAAAUUUAUAUAUAUAUUAAUAAAUUUAUAUUUUAAAUUAUUUUUACAUAUAUUGCAAUGAUUUGUUUAUAUAUAAAUAAAUCAAAUUAUUAUAAAAAUGUUUUGCUACAAGUACAUUAGUGAAAAUUGAAAAUAGUGAUCAACCCCUUAAAGGGUUGAAACAGGCCAAAACUCAACAGAUGCCGAAUAUCUUCCAAUACCUAAUUUAAUAUUCACAUAAACCAUACCAAUUGUAUCAAAUUCGGAGAAUUGUAGUGAUUGUAUUUUGCUGGAGCAACAAAAUCAUUUAAUGACAUUAACCGACAAUGGUCACAUUGACCAACGAAAGUGUUGAACAAGACUAACAAAAUUUCAGCUCAAAAGAUAAAAACCAAUCAUAGUUGGCAUCAUUAACGCCAUAUCUCAUGUCAUUCAUGCAUCACAGCAUCCUUAUCGUCAAAAUAAUUCCCAGAAGUAUAGGAAUUGAUCAAAUUCACUAAGAUAGCUGUAAGAGGCUAAUUUUGUACUGGGCUCCCCAAAAUAAUAACCGAAUCAAUAAAGCCAAAGGAUACAAUCGGUCGAAAACGAGCUAAAAAGGGCCAAAUUGAAAGACAAUCAUUAAAUUUUAGUCAAAUUAAAAAGAUGGAGAAAGCUAAGGAGUUCAAAUUUUGUUGACUUGGUAAAAGGUUAAAAAUAGGAAUAUAUGAUUUUUUUGUUGUUUUUAUUUUAUUUUAUUUUAUUUAGGCUAUUUUUAGUAAACUCCGUGUAUAUAAAUAGGGGUAUUUUGUUCUUUGAAAGGGGACUUGGAUGAAGACUUUUGUCUUCCUACUUCAAUUUGAAAUUGGAUUAUUCUCUCUUUUCCUAUCUCCAUUGGAAUUGAAUUAUUUUCUUUUCUCUUUUAAUUACGUGGGAAUUUUGUCAAUUUCAUCUCAAUUUAUUUGUUUUUUUUCUAAAUUCGUCCAAUUGUUUUUAGCCCUUCCCUUUUUUUAUUGUUUUGCAAUUAAGUUUUCAUUUUUUUUGCCCUAAAAUUUGUUUUGACUGCAUUUUGGUCCUGCUUGAGGUUGUGCGUUUUGGAGGGUGGGGAUUAUUUCCCUUUUGGUCCCUCUUUGUUAUUCGCAUGUUCAAAUUGGUCCAUUUCAUUUUAUUUAUUUUUUAUUUGCCCCAAAAUUUUGCUUUAAGGUUCGAGUUAAUCUUUUUUUUUCGUUAUUUUAUUAUCAAAUUAACUAAUUUAAUAUAUUAUUGCUAUUAUUAUUAUGUUUCUAUUUAUAUUUAUUUUGUUAUUCUAAUACUAUUAUUAUUUAUCUAAUUUUUAUUUAUCUAUUUAUAUUUCUACUAUUAUUAUAUUUCUAUUUAUUAUAUUUUUAUUUCUAUUUAUAUACUAAUAUUAUUUUCAUUAUUAUUUUUCUUAUAUAUGUUUUUUACUUUUUUUUUAUUUUAUAUUUUUUAUUAUCUAUUUAAACUUUUUAUAUAACGCUCAUUUCAAAUUUUUAUACAUUAUUUACUUUAAUAUUUUCACAUAUUAUGUACUUCAAACUUUUUUUUUACACAUUAUAUAUUUUGAAUUGUUUAUAUAUUUUCAUAUACAUUAUGUAUUUAUUUGUUAUUUGUGAUUCAUUAUUAUAACAUUUUGUUUAUGAAUUAUUACUUUGCGUUGUACAUUAUUAUUCCAUCGCAUUUUAUUCGUUUAAAAGGUCGUGUUUUAAUAUCGUUUAAGUUUUAAAAUCAUUUUAUUCAAAAGUUUUCAAAAUAAGGCAAUACUCAGUAUUUGGCAUCUUUGAGAAGAUUAUGCCCUAACUUGUUGGGUUCCAAUUUUCCUCGUUAAAUCUAAGUAACCGAGUACCCCUUUUUCAAUCAAAAGGCAUAAGUUUCAAAUACAAGCUUAUUCUCAGGAAUUCGAGGUGUUGUGUCCUAACUCACUGGAUAUGACAUUUUGUAUCUCAAGAUAAGGAUUUCUAAAAAUUAAAGGCAAUGUUCUAUGUUUGGAAAUCCGAGAAAUCGUGCCCUAACGUGUUGGGUUUCGAUUUUUCGUUGGACCAAAUAAUCCAAUAUCCUUUUGUAAUUUUCAAAUGUAUGAGCUUUUGAAAAUCAAGAAUUGAUCGUGGUUUCGAAGGUUUAAAGAAUCAUGUCCUAACGUGCUGGAUGUGAUAUUAUAUUCCUUCGAAACAAGAGCAUUUUAAUGUUCAAUUUGAGUUAUUCAAAUGCUUUAAAAGAAAUUGUAUUUCAAUUUUUUUUAAGAAAACUUUAGACAAUAGGACAUUAAUUAAUCAAUUGGUACCAAUUUUGGGCAUUACGAGGGUGCUAACCCUUCCUCGUGUGUAACCGACUCCCGAACCCUUUUUUUCUCAAAUUUUGUAGACCCAAAAUCAUUGUUUUAAUAAAUCAAAAUGUUUUAUUAAAAUGACCAAUCUCAAGGUGAUCCGAUCACACCUCAAAAAAAGAUCGGUGGCGACUCCAUUUUUGUUUUUAAGUCGACUCCUGUUUUUCAACAAAAAAAAUGGUAUCGAUAGCUUGGCGACUCCACUGGGGACCAAUAAGAGAGUUAAGCCGUAAAAUUGAUUAUUUUCUAUCCUUUUGUCAAAAAUUGAAAUUUUGAUUUGAAAAUCAUGAUUCUUUUGUUACAUUUGUUUAUGAUCCCUAUGUACAGAGAAGCUCAGGCUGCGAUAUCUAGGGCACUUAGUUUUCGUCUUACCCAUUUUGAAUUUGCUAUCCUUUGACUACUUUAUUCGUUUCAAAAUACACUUGCAAUAAAUUUCCUUUUUAAUUGCAUUUGCUAUCAUUGAUUAACUUAUUUGUUUCGAGCUAUGCUCUCGAUUAAUUUCCUUCUUGUCCAUUGUUAUGAUUUUUUUUCAAGCAUUUUACAUUGAAAUAACGAUUAGUGGACUAAUAGUACUUUCAUUAAAGGAGUUCCGCAUAUUACUCUAGAAGUUUCUAAAUAAUAUAAGAAUCUGAAACAGGACUAUUGUUUAGAACUCGCCAAGCUUAAGGGUUGGAAAUAUUAGAGAAAGAUGAUCAUCUCUUUGGAACUUUUAUUGUUUGAACAAGACAUUUCGUCAGUGAUACAACCUCGACAAAUAACGAGCAAGUCAACCCAAGUGUAAAAGGGGAUCAUUCUUGGGAAAAGAAAAAUGAUACUCUGCAUUCAUGCAAAUAUCAGACAUAUAUAUUUGAUCAUUACACCCAGGGAAUGGUGUAACAGAUUAAAUUGAUUGAAGAUGAUACAACUCCUAUACCUCUGAGUUGCAGCAGAAUGGAUGGAAGAAAUGAAAUGUUAUUCCUCUGAAGUUGCAGUGAGAGGUACAAAUUUUAUAUCUCAGAAGGUACAGUGAAAUAGACCCUGAAGUUGCAAUGGGGCAAACCAGUUGAGCAAAAAAGAUUGUUUCUGCGGGUUUUCUGUCAGAAAAUACCACCCGAGUAAAAAUGAUGUGAGCUUGCCUACGAACCAAAUGGAGAACGAACAAGAAGCCAUUAAGCUGCCCAUUGGUCCAAUAACGCGAGCUAGAGCUAAACGAUUCAAAGAUGCUAUUUUAGCAAUGGUGGAACGGGUUGAGGAAAAUGAUAGCAAGGAGUUUAAAAACGAGCUGAACAUAUUCAACUUCUUUAAAGCUGAAUUUCGUUCUAGCUAAUUAAUUUGCUGCUGAAAUUUUAGACCAUUUAAAUAAGCAUUUAAAUAAGUUUCAUUACAGCUUUUAAAUAUGUCUUAAUUUAUUACAAGUGUUUAAUAUGUUGAUUUGGUUGAAUUAAAGGUGUCUAGAUGUCAUUUAAUUUGUUUGAAUAUAUUACAUGAAUUAACUAUGUUCAGCCGAAUUAAUGUGUCUUGUUUAGUACAUAUUUAAUUCGGCUUAAUGUUAAUUAGUAUGUUCAUAUUAUGUUUUAAAUUAAUUCAGCUGAAUUGAGUUAAAUUAAUGAGGUUCAUUUGUUUUAUUUAGGUUCAGCCGAAUGUGGAAGAUGCAUGGGAAAGGUUGGCCGAAUGUUGUGUGCAAGAUGCAUGCAUGUUGGAUUCAAUGCACCUAAUGAUACAUGCAUGAACUACAUUAAAAAUGAUGUGCUGAUUAUUGAAGUUCUCUAAGUGACCAUUCGGCUAAAGAGAUAGUUUUUCAAGCUGCCAUUAUUUCCUUCACAUUGCUAGAUACAUUUUGGCCAUUCGGUUCUUGGUGUUCACAUUUUAAGGCUCUUCAAAACCGUCCAUUCACACCUAAUGUGGCUGUUCAAGUGCCCUCUUUAUUAUUGAUAAUUUUUCAGCAAGAGUUGCCUAUUGAAUGAUCAUUUAAGCUCAUCAGCUGAAUGUAGCUGUUACAUGCAUUCCCAAGAUUCAUUUGCUUAAUAUGGAAGCUUCAUGUAUGGUCACUAUUCAGCCGAACCUACAUUGGCCAUUUUUGUUCAAUGUUUACUUAGAAACUAAGUCUAGAAUAUGUCCAUUCGGCUACUAGGCAUUAGGCUAUAAAUAGUUACUCAUUUUCUUGUAAAAGGACUUUUGACAAAUUUCUGAAUGAAAUAUCAUUUUAGUGAGGCAAUUCACUCUCUUUAUUCUCCAAAGCUCAAAUUGACUUAUCUUCAACAAGUGGCGUCAAUCUGACUUUGUUUCGAACUUAUCACCAUUGGUGUGGCGUUCUUCAUACCGUAGGUUCCUAUUUUGCUAAAUAGAGGGUCUCGGUUUUAUCCCAAAUCCUUUCUUUCUUUGAAACCUUAAGCCUCGGGUCCUUAUUUGCUAAUAAGGGUUCGACUUGUUUUCAUUGAAAUAUCCAGCAAACAACACUCCAUCAAACUCCCUUGUUUCCCAAAGCCAUUUAAUUUUAAACACCAAGACUUGAAUUUAUUUCAAGGCCGACACUACCUAAUUUCGAUCGGGAAAUAUUACGACUCGUUAUUUCAUACGAAACGAGCUCGUAUCAAAAAAGGCAGCAUAAUACGACAGUGAUAAAACUCUGAUGAAUAACGAGUGAUGACACUUUAAACUUUUAAAAAAAGGAAUCAUUCUCAUGACAUUUCUACAUUCAUAUCAUUCAUAGCACAUUUGGUUAGGAGCAUCUGAUUUAUUUUGAUCAUAGUAUCCAAAUCAUUUGGCAUAAACAUAGGCAUAUGGAACCGAGUCUACAGGGUAUGUUCCCUAGAGAACAGUGUAGCGACAUCGGUGAAUUUAAGUUUUAUCUUCUUAAGGUAGCAAGGAAGCAGACUAGAAAUUACAGAUCUUAUCUCCAUGUAUCGACUAUGGAGCAGAUCAAAAAUGGCGAGUCUUGUCUCCAUGUAUCAGCUAUGGAGCAGAUCUUAGCCACUGGUCUUAUCUCUCUGAGGUAGUAGGAGAGUAGGUUGAAGAUACGAGCCUUAAUCUCUUAAGCAGUAGGAUAAUAGGCUGAAAAUUACAAAUCUUAUCUCCAUGUAUCGGCUAUGGAGCAGAUCAAAAAUCAUGAGUCUUAUCUCCAUGUAUCGACUAUGGAGCAGAUUUUAGCCACCAGCAUUAUCUCUCUAAUGUAGCAAGAGAGCAGGUUGAAGAUACAAGUCUUAUCUUCCUGAGGUAGCAAGGAAGCAGACUAAAAAUUACAGAUCUUAUCUCCAUGUAUCGACUAUGGAGCAGAUAAAAAAUGGCGAGUCUUAUCUCCAUGUAUCGGCUAUGGAGCAGAUUUUAGCCACUGGCCUUAUCUCUAUGAGGUAGCAGGAGAGCAGGUUGAAGACACCGACUUUAUCUUCCUGAGGUAGCAAGGAAGCAGACUGAAAAUUACAGAUCUUAUUUCCAUGUAUCAGCUAUGGAGUAGAUCGAAAAUGGUGAGUCUUAUCUCCAUGUAUCAGCUAUGGAGCAGAUUUUAGCCAACAGCCUUAUCUCUCUUAGGUAGCAAGAGAGCAGGUUGAAGAUACAAGUCUUAUCUUCUUAAGGUAGGAAGGAAGCAGACUGAAAGUUAUAGAUCUUAUCUCCAUGUAUUGGCUAUGUAGCAGAUCAGAAAUGGCUAUGGAGCAGAUCGAAAAUGGCGAGUCUUAUCUCCAUGUAUCGACUAUAGAGCAGAUUUUAGCCACCAGCCCUAUCUCUCUGAGGUAGCAAGAGAGCAGGUUGAAGACACCGGCUUUAUCUUCUUAAGGUAGCAAGGAAGCAGACUGAAAAUUACAGAUAUUAUCUCUAUGUAUCGGCUAUGGAGCAGAUUGAAAAUGGCGAGUCUUAUCUCCAUGUAUCGACUAUGGAGCAGAUUUUAGCCACCGGCGUUAUCUCUCUGAGGUAGCAAGAGAGCCGGUGGAAGAUACAAGUCUUAUCUUCCUGAGGUAGCAAGGAAGUAGACUGAAAAUUACAGAUCUUAUCUCUAUGUAUCGGCUAUGGAACAGAUUUUAGCCACCUGCCUUAUCUCUCUGAGAUAGCAAGAAAGCAAGUCGAAGAUACAACUCUUAUCGUCCUGAGGUAGCAAAGAAGCAGACUGAAAAUUUCAGAUAUUAUCUCCCUAAGCAGUAGUGGAGCAGAUCGAAGACGAUGAGCCUUAUUCCCCUAAGCAGUAAAGUAACAGGCUGAAGAUUAUAGAUCUUAUCUCCUUAAGUAGUAGUGGAGCGGAUUGAAGACAGUGAGCCUUAACCCCCUAAGUAGUAGGGUAACAGGCUGAAAAUUACAGAUCUUAUCUCCUUAAGCAGUAGUGGAGCAGAUCGAAGACAGUGAGCCUUAACCCCCAUAAGCAGUAGAGUAAUAGGCUGAAAAUUUCAGAUCUUAUUUCCCUAAGCAGUAGUGGAGCAAAUCGAAGACAGUGAGCCUUAACUCCCUAAGCAGUAGGGUAACAGGCUGAAAAUUACAGAUCUUAUCUCCCUAAGCAGUAGUGGAGCAGAUCAAAGACAGUGAGCCUUAUCCCCCUAAGCAGUAGGGAAACAGGCUUGAAAUUACAGAUCAUAUCUCCCUAAGCAGUAGUGGCUCAAAUUGAAACGAAAAUUCUUAUACCCUAUAGGAUGCAGUGGGUUAAAGCGGGGCUACCUGAAGAAAGGAAGAAAACGAGACUCAACAGGCCCAGGCCAAAUUGGUCAUUUUAUAGUCUUUGCUCCAUUCUCAUAACACAACAAUGAGCAAAGAGGGGCAGCUGUAAUAGGCUAAUUUUGGCCUGGGCCCCCUAAAAAUAAUAACCGAAUCAAUAAAGCCAAAGGAUGCAAUAGGUCGAAAACGAGCCAAAAAUGACCAAAUUGAAAGACAAUAAUUAAAUUGUGGCCAAAUCAAAAAGAUGGAGAAAGCUAAGGAGUUCAAAAUUUGUUGACUUCGUAAAAGGCUAAAAAUAGGAAGAUAUGACUUUUUUUUUGCUUUGCUUUUAUUUUAUUUUAUUUAGGCUAUUUUUAGUAAACCCCGUGUAUAUAAAUAGGGAUAUUUUAUUCUUUGAAGGGGGACUUGGACGAGGACUUUCGUAUUCUUACUUCAGUUUGGAAUUGGAUUAUUCUCUCUUUUCCUAUUUCCAUUGGAAUUGAAUUAUUUUCUUUUCUCUUUCAAUUACGUGGAAAUUUUGUCCAUUUCAUCUCAAUUUCUUUAUUUUUUCUAAAUUCGUCCAAUUGUUUUUAGGCCUUCCGUUUUUUUAUUGUUUUGCACUUAAGUUUUCAUUUUUUUGUCCUAAAAUUUGUUUUGACUGCAUUUUGGUCCUCCUUGAAGCUGUGCGUUUUGGAGGGUAGGGAUUAUUUCCCUUUUGGUCCCUCCUUGUUAUUCACAUGUUCAAAUUGGUCCAUUUCCUUUUAUUUAUUUUUGAUUUGCCCCAAAAUUUUGUUAAUCUUUUUUUAUUUUCGUUAUUUUAUUAUCAAAUUAACUAAUUUAAUAUUUUAUUGCUAUUAUUAUUAUGUUUCUAUUUAUAUUUAUUUUUUAUUCUAAUAGUAUUAUUAUUUAUCUAAUUUUUAUUUAUCUAUUUAUAUUUCUACUAUUAUUAUAUUUCUAUUUAUUAUAUUUUUAUUUCUAUUUAUAUACUAACAUUAUUUUCAUUAUUAUUUUUCUUAUAUAUGUUUUUUACUUUUGUUAUUAACAUUCUAUUUAUUUAUUUAUUUAUUUAUUUAUUUUACAUUUUUUGUUAUUAUCUAUUUAAACUUUUUAUAUAACGCUCAAUUCAAAUUUUUAUACAUUAUUUACUUUAAUAUUUUCAUAUAUUAUGUAUUUCAAAAUUUUUUUUACACAUUAAAUAUUUUGAAUUGUUUAUAUAUUUUCAUAUACAUUAUGUAUUUGUUUGUUAUUUGUGAUUCAUUAUUAUAACAUUUUGUUUAUGAAUUAUUACUUUGCGUUGUACAUUAUUUUUCCAUCGCAUUUUAUUCGUUUAAAAGGUCGUGUUUUAAUAUCGUUUAAGUUUUAAAAUCAUUUUAUUCAAAAGUUUUCAAAAUAAGGCAAUACUCGGUAUUUGGCAUUUUCGAGAAUAUUGUGUCCUAACUUACUGGGUUGCAAUUUUCCUCGUUGAAUCUCAGUAACUGAGUACCCAUUUUUCAAUCAAAACGCAUAAGUUUCAAAUACAAGCUUAUUCUUAGGAAUUUGAGGUGUUGUGUCCUAACUUACUGGAUAAGACAUUUUGUAUCUCAAGAUAAGGAUUUCUAAAAAUAAAGGCACUGUUCUAUGUUUGGAAAUCCAAGAAAUCGUGCCCUAACGUGUUGGAUUUCGGUUUUUUGUUAGACCAAAUAAUCGAAUAUCCUUUUGUAAUUUUCAAAUGUAUGAGCUUUUGAAAAUUUCAGCUCAAAAGAUAAAAACCGAUCAUAACUGGCAUUAUUAACGCCAUAUCUCAUGUCAUUCAUGCAUCACAGCAUCCUUAUCAUCAAAAUAAUUCCCACAAGCAUAGGAAUUGAUCAAAUUCACUAAGAUAACAAUAACCAAUUCCUCUAGAUAACAUUACCAGCUUUUAAUUGUUAUUUCUUCACUUGUGAGAACAAAGCAGUCUGGGAGGGUCAAUGUUUGUGUAAUACUUCUUGAUUGUCUCUGUGAUUUCAAAUCCAAAUUUUAAAAUUGUCGAAUUUUUUUGGGGUCAUUUGUAUUUUAGGUUUACAUUUUCAGGUUAGGUCAUUAUAAGUUUUAGUUAUUAUGUGUUUAAAGUGUUCCAAUUUCUAGUCUGUUAAAAUACGUCCGUCUCUGUACUCAGACAAAAUUUGAAAUUUAAUCUUUGUACUUAAAAAUAUCAAAAUUAGAUUUUCUUAAUUUUUUUUAUUUAAAAUUUUCAGUUUAGUCAUUAAUGUUAUUAGUAUUUUCCAUCAAAAUUUGCUUGGUAUGUUAAUUAAACUAUCCUCAUAUGACACUGUAUAUGAUUGACAAAAAAUAAACAUAUUAAGUUGACAAAUUUUGACAGAAAUUACAAACUACGAUAAUAAUUAUGAUUAGAAUUUUUAAAUUGAAAAAAAAGUAGGAUUAAAAUUUUAAAUUAUAAAGUACAUGUGAAUAAAUCUCAAAUUUUAGAUAAGUAAAGGGAUGACCAACAUGGCAGUUCUAACUUCUAAGAGAUUCCUCAUAUUUCUUCAACUUAUCAUCUCCAAGUUUGUUAAACAAAUCAAAAGAUGGAGCACAAAUUUUAUUAGCUUGAAAAGUGGAAGAUGAAGAUCUGAUAUUGUUCUUAGCAUGCUGUUGAAUUUGACCUUUGAGCAUAAAUCCAUGUACAAAUUCCUUGAUCUUUCAAUGCCUCAAUAGCUCCAAUGCUAGCUGCUGCAAUCCAAGCUCUUGUUGAACAACUCAUGGUUUUAAUCCUUUUUGCUAUACUUGUAAUGCCCCUAACCGGAAUCCAUCACUGGAAUAGAGUUACAGAGCAUUGCCAGAGUUACCGAUUUAUUUAUCAGAUAUUUUAUUAUUUCAUCUAAUAUUCAUAUUUGGAACCAAUUAAAAUCAAAUAUAUUGUCCCUUAAACGUACUUAUUUUUCUCGAUAUGUUUUACUUAAAUUUAUUACUCGUCUCACUAUACUUAAUUUCCUUGUAUCAACGUAUCAAAGAUAAUCACAUAUUUACAUGUCAUGAUAAAUAUCAUUCUCUUGCCAUUUCAUCAUAAACAUAAAUCAGGUAAUUCAUUAUAUCGAAAAUACAAUUCAAGUUACACUAACUUACCUUGUUGGUUGUUUAUAUUUAUAAUUUCAUUAAUCCGAUAUAUUUUCUUUUCCACGCUCAAGUCUCGUAUUCGAGUCAUCCAAAUAUUUAUAAAUAAAUUUGAUCGUCGUUUUCAUUUAUUUCAUGUUCUAUUACGUUCAAUUAAUACUCAAAACAAAAUUACCAUUUUACCCUAAAACUUUUAAUUAAUGACGAUUUCAUCCUUAGGCUCAAAAAAAUAAAAUUCUUGCAAUUUAAUCCUUAUUUCCAGCCGUUAUUCUCAUACAAAUUGAUAACAACCCAUGAAUUCUAUAAAAUAUCAGAAUUUUCCAUAAUUUCAACACUUUUCAAUUUAAUCCGUAAAACAUGUUUUUCCCGAUCUUAAACUAAAUUAAUAAUUUUUGUUCAAUUUUGCAAUUUUAAAUAAUAAAAUAAUCCAUUUCAUGCAAAUUGGUCAUUUCUAACAUUUUUACAAAAUUGUCCAUAAAGUUUUGAUUUUAUUCAAUUUAGUCCCUGAGCCUAAAACAUGAUUUUCCAAAGUCAGAAUAGGGGAACCCAAAAUCAUUCUGAUCUUGUCUAACUAAAUUUGUUAUAUCUCAAAAUUUACAAUUUCAUUGCUUACACCGUUUCUUCUAUGAAAAACUAGACUCAAUAAAAUUUGAUUUCAUAUUUUAUUCAACUUCUAAUUCAAUUUUCACAAUUUUUGAUGAUUUUUCAAAAUUAGACCACUGCUGCUGUCCAAAACUAUUUUAGUGCAAGAUAUUAAUUACCAUGUUUAUAACACUCUUAUUUUCUUUCUCUACACUAUUUCUCAUCACUUUCUCUUAUUUUCUCUACACUAACAUAUCAAGUACAUAGGACCAUAUGUAAGGAAACUCUACAUUAACAUUAAUCUCAUGCUUUUUCAAUAAUAUCAAACUUAAAAAUAUAUUGAAAUCAUGAUGUUCUUACCUUGUUCUAUUGAUUUCAAUCUUCAUCUUGAUUUUCUCUCUCCUUCAGCUUCCAUUUUUUGAAUCCAACUUGAUAUUCUAACUUCUCAUAGUCUCGUUAACAUUUUUCUCUCUUGGUAGCUAUAGAAAUUCUUUUAAUUUUUAGGUGAAAAUGAUGAAUAUUUAGUAGAAGUACCAAAUUAUAAAGAAAAGAAAAUUUUCUUUCUUUUCUUCUCUUCCAACGUUGGCUGCAUGGAAAGAUGGAUGGUGUUGUCCCCUCUCUUUUUUUUUUCUUUCCAUACAUAUAUAUAUACUAAAUAAAAUAAUAAAAUAAUAAUAAACAUCUUAUUAAAAUAUUAAAUAAAUAAUAAUUAUCUAAUUAAAAAAUUAUAAAAUAUCACAAACAUCAUCAUUACUUUCUAGAUUUCUCUCUCUUCCAAUUAACCAUUUUGCCCUUUGUGAUCUUUUAAAAUUUCAUUAUUGAGUCAUCACUUAAUUUGGUAAAAUUGCAAUUCAGUCCCUCGUAAUUCUUCACCUAUUCAAUUUGGUCCUAAUUCAUCAAUUUUCUUUGGUUUCUAGAUCAUUCCACCCUUAAAAUAUUUUCACUAUUAGUCCUUUAACUUUUUCAUAUUUACACUUUAACCCCUUAAAUUUUGAGUAUUUACUCUUGGGUAACAAAACUUUUCUCACUUUUAAAAUUUAGUCCUUUCUUCAAUUAAUAUGUCAUAAUAUACUUUCCAAUGACAUAACUCAAAUUUUCUCUUCUUGUCACUUUAUUUUCUUAUUUUACUAAAUAAAUGAUAAUAUCUUACUCUAAAAAAUUUCAGGGUGUUACAUUUCUCUCCCCCUUAAAAGAAAUUUUGUCCUCGAAAUUUUCUUGUUUUCUUUUGAUCAUGAACUUCAUUAUUUUCAUAAUUCUAUAGCUCCUUUGUGCACAUAUUUAUCGAGUUUAUCAUUUAUAUCCAUUCUCUAUCCUUUCAUUUCACAAUUUAUUUUUAAUUCAAUAUUGUGAACAUGCCUUAUAAUGAAAAUUGCUUACCUUUUUAUAAGAGGCCCAAUAGAUUAAACAGAACACUUAGGAUAUACGGAACAGAUAUAGAAGUGUAUUAUUAUGCACUAUUAAUCAAAGAGCACUUGGCGAGUACCAAUGUGCUAUUAUCAAAUGAUGCACUAGAGUCUCUUAAUAGUAUACCACUAAUAUCUUAGUAGAUCUAAUCUCAUCUACUUAGGCAAAUUACAUUAUGCACGCAUAUCACUUUUACAUUUUUAGAAUAAUGCUUUUACAUACUUUACAAUUUAAUCAUUGUGCUAAUAACAUGUAUGUUUAUAUCUUCUCUUUCUUUAAUACAUGUAAUAUAUUUCAAAAUUCACUAAUAAUCUUUAUCAUGUACUUCAUAUAUCACUUUCUAAGUCCAAUUUCACUUUCAAUUCAUUCACAACUCAAUUUAAUUUCCAUUCAAUUCAACAAUAACACUACCUCAUACUUCUCUUACCAUAUACAUAAUUUAAAUUUAACAUUUAAUAAUAAUAAAUAAUUUGAUUUAUAUUAAAACAACCGUACGCUGAUUAUGUCUAUACUCAAUGGUAUUACCAUAAUUCAAAUUAUAAAAACUAUAAUAAAUAAUAGACAUCAAACAUGUAACAAUAUAAGUCAUAUGUGUUAAUUUAUGUUUUAAUUUCAUAUCUCAACCAAAACACACCAGAAUAAUCAUGUAAUCCUCCCAAACACACCAGAAUCACAUAGUCCUCCUAUCCGUAUCCGUUGCCGGAAUAGGGUACGAGGCAUUACUAGGAUUUAUAUAUCAUUUAACAAAAAUUUCAAUUAAAUACUUACUGUUUCUUCAUAAGUGUAUAUCGUUCAUUUCAUUAUAUCAAUAUUUCAUGUACCAUCAUUUCCAUAUAUUUUACGUAUAUUUAUUCCGGUGAUAGUUCAAAUCAAACUUAACAUAAAUUAUAUUCCUUGGACUUAGACUUAUUUCAUUUAUCUAUCUUCAUAAUUAUUUCAUGCAACUAUUUUGUACAUAUAUUUUCAUAUGACCAGUUCCUGUAAACAUGUCACACAACCAUUUUGUAUAACCAAUUCAUAUAACCAUUUGUCAUCUGGUACAUAUUACCUGAAUAUUAGUUGUUCAACAGAUGUCUUGGCGUCUCUCAUCCACGAUCUUAUUUAUCUUCGACAUGAUGCUAUAGUAUCUUUCAACUAUGGUCUUACUCAUUUUCUGUCAAGUUUCCAUGGUAUCUUUCAACCAUGGUCUUCAUUUCCCCGUCAUGUUGUCAUGGUAUCUUUCAACCAUGGUUUUAUUCAUUUCAUGUCAUGUUACCAUAGUAUCUUUCAACCAUGGUCUUACACAUUUCAUAUCACGUUGUCAUGGUAUCUUUCAACCAUGGUCUUACACAUUUGAAUCGCGAUGCCAUAGCGUCUUUCAGUUAUGGUCUUACUUAUUUCUGGUAUGACGCCAUAGUCCAACUAUGGUCUUACAUGUGUAUUGCCAUGGCCUAGCCAUGGUCUUACACUCGUGGUGUCAUAUCCCAGAUAUGGUCUUAUCAUCAGGAUGCCAUAGCCUAGCUAUAGUUUUUUACAUAUAUUGUCAUGGCCCAGCCAUAGUCUUAUCCGUCAAUUCAUCACUGAUCACUGAAUGGUCAUACUCAAUUCAGCGUUCUACUCCAUUUGAACUUUUGAUCUGAUUUCCAUAAUUUAACAAUAUUCAUAAUUCAAUAGCAAACAUAUGAAAUAAUACAUUAUAUAAGUCAUAAUUUAGCAAAUAAUCAUGAAAGUUCAAUCAUAUAAACUUACCUGGCUAAAUUGCAGAAAUACUAAAAUUUAAGGGCAUUUUAGAAAUUUUCUGUUUUUAUCUAUUUUCCUCCCAAUAUUUAUCUAAAUUGAUAAUUUCAUUCAAUUUAUUAAUUUAAAUAAUAAAACAAUUCAUUUCAAAUUUCACUUUCCAACAACAUAUUAUCAAAUAUUUAUCUCAAUUUUAUUCAAUUCAAUAUUGAUGCUUACCUUAAAUUUUUUUACUUACUAUACACAUAAAUCUAAAUAUAACAUUUAUUCAUACAUUUAUGAGUUCGGACUUAUCAUAAUCAUCUUUUACUCAUAUACUUGAGUAUCGUUUUCAACAUUAUCAGAAUUAACUCGGUUGGGAAACAUCUCUAUCUUUAAGUAAAACAAAUCUCAUCAGAGUCAGAAGAUAUCACACUAUCACAGGUUAUGUAAUGUAUUUCUAGGCUUCACAUUUCACAUGUGCUACAUUUGGUCCGAGAACCGACUAAAUGUGCAGAUUUCAGUAUUCUCUAACCAGAUUUCAUUUCUUUUCAGAAUCAUUUUCAGCUGUAAUUUUCUCAAUUCUUCUACACUAUAUGUGCAGAUUAUUAACAACAGAUAACUUACCUGUUCAGACAAACUCUGUACCUUGAAGCACUUUGGGAACCGAUUGAGAAACAUGAGAGGUAAAUAUCGUAACAGAUACAGUUUCUUCUAUUCACUGAAGAGCAUCAGUUAUAAUUCUAAACAGUUACGUAUUAUCUCUUUCUCUAUUAUUUCAUUGUUAAACAUUCAGUGGUUCGUUACUCAUUAAAUUAAUAUUUAAUGUUGUCGAUUCAGUUUUCAUCUAGUUCACGAGACUCUUUGUCUCCAGUAUAUAUUUCAUGACCAAUACUAUCGAUAUGUUCAUCUAACAUUUUCAACUAUAAAACAGAAACAAACAAAUAUAUCAGCAUCCGAUCCCUAUUCAAUUUUGACUCAACUAUGGCAUGUACCUCUAGACUCAAUUCCGAGCUCGAUUUAGUUCGAGAUUCGGUUAAACCUGAAUAGCUCUGAUACCACUAAAUGUAACGCCCCUAACCCGAAUCCGUCACCUGAAUAGAGUUAUGGAGCAUUACCGGAGUUACCAAUUUAUUUAUCAGAUAUUUUAUUAUUUCAUCUAAUAUUCAUAUUUGAACCAAUUAAAAUCAAACAUAUUGUCCCUUAAACGUACUUAUUUUUCUUGAUAUGUUUUACUUGAAUUUAUUACUCGUCUCACUAUACUUAAUUUCCUUGUAUCAACGUAUCAAAGAUAAUCAAAUAUUUACAUGUCAUGAUAAAUAUCAUUCUCUUGCAAUUUCAUCAUAAACAUAAAUCAGGUAAUUCAUUAUAUCGAAAAUACAAUUCAAGUUACACUAACUUACCUCGUUGCUUGUUCAUAUUUAUAAUUUCAUUAAUCUAAUAUCUUUUCUUUUCCACGUUCAAGUCUCGUAUUCGAGUCAUCUGAAUCUUUAUAAAUAAAUUUGAUCGUUGUUUUUAUUUAUUUCAUGUUCUAAUACGUUCAAUUAGUACUCUAAACAAAAUUACCAUUUUACCCCUAAACUUUUAAUUAAUGAAGAUUUCAUCCUUAGGCUCAAAAAAAUAAAAUUCUUACAAUUUAAUCCUUAUUUUCAGCCGUUAUUCUCAUACAAAUUGAUAACAACCCAUGGAUUCUAUAAAAUAUCAGAAUUUUCCAUAAUUUCAACACUUUUCAAUUCAAUCCUUAAAACAUGUUUUUUCCAAUCUUGAACUAAAUUAAUAAUUUUUGUUCAAUUUUGCACUUUUAAAUAAUAAAAUAAUUCAUUUCAUGCAAAUUGGUCAUUUCUAACAUUUUACAAAAUUUUCCACCUGAGCCUAAAACAUGCAAAUUACCCAUGCUAGCUGAAUAUUCAUACAUAUUUUCCUCCUCCUCCUCCUCUCCAUUCCACAUCCUUAAUUUACUUAACUUGCAAUAAAUAACAUUAUCAAUAAUUUCACUAUUUACUUAUAUGUAUAUUCAAAACAGUCCACUUGAGUCAUAGUCACUAAACUAUUUAUAUCUUGAGCUACAGAACUCAAAAUUAAGAUCCUCGAGCAAGUAGGGCAAGUCGUCAUAACUUUGAUAGAACAGCUGCUUAAUCUCAUCAUCCCAAUGAGCCCAUAUAUCCCUCAAUUCCUGGAACUCAUUUUAGGUUACAUUGAUGCGAUUGAAGUCCAACAACCCUGAUGUAUACCCCUCAGCUAGGCUAUCCCUUUUCUCAAGUUGCAUCUUCUCUGACCACAUACGGACAGCCGCAUUAUCCUCUACUUUAUCAAGGAAUUCGUUCUCCAUAACAAGCUUUCUAAUGUAGCAACCGAACAGAAAUCGACACCUCUUUAAUAUGAAAUGAAUUGCAAACAUAACCACAACAAAACACAACAAGUUAGUACCGAAAAAUAAAAAUCAAAGCAAAUAGAAAAUAAUCAAACACCUAACUGGGUAAUCGUUAGGGUUCAACAUAGCUCUACCUAGGGCGGGCUCCUAGAGUUCACUAUAUAUGGAUCAGUUCUAAGAAAAGGGUACUUGAACCAGCAGAUUCCUCAACCCUUACCCAUUAUAGGCUCAUGUGGAUCGAGUUCGAUUCAGGGGAAUACAUUUUCCUAUGGCCAUGCAGAGGUGAAAACCUCACGAAGACAUAGGUAUAGAUGUAUGCUGGAAGCAGUCCACUAGCCCAUGCGGAGGUGAAAACCUCACGAAGGCAUAAUUUCUCACUCCCACCUAAAAGGUGUGACCACAACGGUCAUGCAGUGCAAUUCGAGGGGACAUAAAAACUCCAACACAAAAACAUGAAUAAGAUGAUGAAAACCAUAACACCAAUUAAAAGGAUCGUAUGUUAAAAAUAAAAUUUUUAAUUUUCGACAAAAAGACAGAAAAUAAUCAAUUUUAAGGAUUGACUCUAGGGCUUGUUGUUUCUGAAAACGAUUUGGGUCCUUGGGCUUGUGUAACCAAGUAUUGUGCCAUUGCAAAGUUUUGGGUCUGGUGUAACUAGAUUUGGACUGUUGUUUUGUUUUAUUUUUCUGUAUAUGUAUAGGCCCAGGCUAAAAAUUGGGUCUACAGGGGUAAUUUAUAUUUUAGGUUUACAUUUUCAGGUUAGGUCAUUAUAAGUUUUAGUUAUUAUGUGUUUGAAGUGUUCCAAUUUCUAGUCUGUUAAAAUACGUCAGUCUCUGUACUCAGACAAAAUUUGAAAUUUAAUCUCUGUACUUAAAAAUAUCAAAAUUAGAUUUUCUUAAUUUUUUUAUUUAAAAAUUUCAGUUUAGUCAUUAAUGUUAUUAGUAUUUUCCAUCAAAAUUUGCUAACUUGGUAUGUUAAUUAUUAAACUAUCCUCAUAUAACACUGCAUAUGAUUGACAAAAAAUAAACAUAUUAAGUUGACAAAUUUUGAUAGAAAUUAUAAACUACGAUAAUAAUUGUGAUUAGAAUUUUUAAAUUGAAAAAAAAGUAGGAUUAAAAUUUUAAAUUUUAAAGUACAUGUGAAUAAAUCUCAAAUUUUAGAUAAGUAAAUGGAUGACCAACAUGACAGUUCUAACAUCUAAGAGAUUCCUAUUAUUUAUUCAACUUAUCAUCAUCUCCAAGUUUGUUAAACAAAUCAGAAGAUGCAGUACAAAUUUUAUUAGCUUGAGAAGUGGAAGAUGAAGAUCUGAUAUUGUUCUUAGCAUGCUGUUGAAUUUGACCUUUGAGCAUAAAUCCAUGUACAAAUUCCUUGAUCUUUCAAUGCCUUAAUAGCUCCAAUGCAACUCAUGGUUUUAAUCCUUUUUGCUAUACUUUUCAGAUCAAAUGGCUGUUUUUUUCUUAAGCAAAUGGUAAUGGUGGAUAUGAGGUUCUUAUAUAGUGACUUUAUGGGGGGAAACUAGAGAUAGUAUUCAAAUAAAAGAAAUAGUUUUAAUUGUAUCCUACAAUAGAGACAAUGAUAGUAAAGAAAUAAACAAAAUCACCAAAGAUAAGGUUUUGGAUGGUUUGUUUUUGGUUUCUUUGGAUUUGGGGGAUGAACUCUUCACUAUUUAAAUCCAAUUUAUUGGUUUCUAUUACAUCUUUCCAUGAAAAAUUGAAAUUCUAAUGUGACUUGAGAAGUGGAUUGGCUUGCUCUCCACUUUAUGUUUAAAUUCUUUCCAAGUUUUUUUGUUUUGGGGAUUUGAAGUUUAAGCUCCCUUUAUUUACCAGUAAAAUCUUUGUUUUUAAACUCUGAAAAAUAAUUUACUUUUUUGGUGUUUGGAUGAAUCUAUAUAAAAUAUUUUUUAUUUUUUGACAGAUUUCUUGAAAAUAUUUUCCGGAAAAGCUCUUUUUACAUAUAUUAAUAAAUUCAUAUUUUAAAUUAUUUUUACAUAUAUUGCAAUGAUUUAUUUAUAAAUAAAUAAAUACAAAUGUUUUGCUACAAGUACAUUAGUGAAAAUUGAAAAUAUUGAUCAACCCCUUAAAGGGUUGAAACAGGCCUAAACUCAACAGAUACCGAAUAUCUUCCAAUACCUAAGUUAACAUUCACAUAAACCAUACCAAUUGUAUCAAAUUCGGAGAAAUGUAGUGAUUGUAUUUUACUGGAGCAACAAAAUCAUUUAAUGACAUUAACCGGCAAUGGUCACAUUCACCAACGAAGUGUUGAACAAGACUAACAAAAUUUCAGCUCAAAAGAUAAAAACCAAUCAUAACUGGCAUCAUUAACGCCAUAUCUCAUGUCAUUCAUGCAUCACAGCAUCCUUAUUGUCAAAAUAAUUCCCACAAGUAUAGGAAUUGAUCAAAUUCACUAAGAUAACAAUAACCAAUUCCUCUAGAUAACAUUACCAGCUUUUAAUUGUUAUUUCUUAGCUUGUGAUGUAACGGUGAGCUUGGUAAGUACAAAGCAGUCUGGGAGGGUCAAUGUUUGUGUAAUACUUCUUAAUUGUCUCUGUGAUUUCAAAUCCAAAUUUCUUAUAGAAGUUGAUGGCAUCUUCGUUGUUUGUCUGAACAUGCAAGUAGAUUUCCGGUAUGUUUUGCUUCGAACAGAGAUAAAGAACAUGGUUCAAUAGCCUUGUACCUGCAUAAAUUAAAGAUUUUUAACGAACUAUGGCUUCUAUUUAGAAUCAAUGAGAACAUAAUUUUUCAGCAAAAACAUGCUGAGGCAGUUUAGUUACACUCUACAUUUCUUCAUCGUUGACCUCAUUGCAAUUUGCAAAAGACAACCAUUAUUGUGCCACUGAACAUGUGCAGAUAUUUUAAGAGCGCAAGUGAACCCAGAAGUGAUCCGAUUCAAAUUAUAGGUAUUGAUAAUGUUAAAGGACAAUACUAAGAUCAUCCAAUUAGCAAUUAGUUUCUUGCAUGACCUAUUCCAAGGAAAUGUUGUUUGUCUACUCACCAAUUCCUAGCCCACGAUAUGGUGCUAAAACACCC
rnacentral:lncRNA from 1 species